rnacentral:lncRNA from 1 species
UUGUGUUUCCUACCCUUUCUGUAUUCUUUUGUCUCCAGGCAAACUUUCUUCGGCCUUCUCUGCCCUUCUUUUUUUUCUUUUCUUUUGCCUAUUGUUACUCUACCUGUGUUUUAAGACUAAACUUAGAUGACACUUUUUUUUCAUUAUAUUUUCCCAGAGUCCCCUGAUUGUAUUAGAGUUAAUUUCUUUCACUCCAUCCAAGGGUUAAUUACACACGUAAAUAGCCCAUGUCAUUUUCAUAGGCUGCCCAAUUUUUCCCUAAUUGUGCAUUAGUCAUCAGAUGUGGGUUUUUGUUUUUAUUUUUAGAUAUUGAAGAGACAGGUUUCUAUAAUCUCUUCCAUUGGUUAUUAUGUAUUGUUCUGAGAGUGCAGGAACUAAAACAUUUUGUGUUUUUUUAAAGAUUUUAUUUAUUCAUGAGAGAGGCAGAGACACCCCUGAGGGAGAAGCAAGCUCCCUGCAGGGAGCCCAAUGCAGGACUUAAUCCCAGGACUCUGGAAUCACGCCCUGAGCUGAAGGCAGAUGCUCAACCACUGAGCUACCCAGGCAUCCCUAGGAACUAAAAACGUUUUAAUCUAAAAUAUCAGCAAUGUAAUUUGAUCAAUGAAAUAAUUCUGUAAUGCCAAGGGACUUACAAAUGGUGAGCAUCACUCUAUACUAAUGUCCCACUUUGUAACAAAAUAAUGUGACCGCCAUUAACCCUGGAGUGGUGAGGUACAGGGAUACUCCCAGUUCAGAUGGCUACAUGAACAGGUAGGUGCCUCUUUCAGCCAUUCUUAAGCUCAGCCUAUUGUUACACUAAGGAAACCGAGACACUUUAGCACUUACUAUAUAUCACAUCCUCCAGCUAUAUUGGAAGCACUGUGAGGAAAGAUACUGUAUCCUAUCCAAUUUUACAGCCCAUCUAGCAUCAGCAAAUAUAAAGUAGGAACUGAAUGAAGGCUCCAUGAUUUACCCUUUAUUCUUCACAAUUGCUCUUAACACACAGUCUUUAUUUUUCUUCCUGCAUUUAUAAAUCAGUGAGGUUUUCCCAAGGGAGAAAACAAAAUUUUUGCCCUGACUAAACUUAUUCUAAUUUGCAAGUAGUUUAAUUCCCCUUACCAUUCUUCCAGGCAACAUCCAUGAAGCCAAAGACUUUGUUCAUUGCCAUAUCCCUUGCCUAGACCAUUGCCUAAUGCAGAGUAAAUAAUAAACAUAGUUGAAUAAAUGCCAAAUUAGUUGUUUUUUCUACACAGAGUCAUCAGGCAAUGAAGGAGAUAAAGAUAUAGUUGCCCUUAUAUUAAGGUGAUUGAUCCAUUUUAUUGCCCAUAAAUUGAGCGUUUUUAGGCCAUCAUGAAUAUUGAUUGGUCCAGAGAUUCCUCCAGCAUGAGGAAGCCAAGGAGUGGCUUAAUUUGUGAAAACACAAAUUAAGAAACAACACAUUAUGAAGUAUAACUAAUAAAAAUGCUGGGGAAUGAGGACUGUUUAAAAGGGAAAUGGUGAUCAUAGUAACAUAUAUAACUUAAAGAUGAGGGAACAAGAAUUUUUUUUUGAGAACAAAAAUAUAUUAUUACUUGGCUAUAAGAACUUAUUACUAUCAGCAUCUUUUAAUUUUUUAAUUUUACUGAGUUUUUAAUACUAGGAAUACUAGUUAUUUACAUACAUGAUGUGUAUAAUUCUCAUGUAUGUCCCAUCAGGAAAACAUUUUCACCAUCAUUUUUCAAAUAAGGAAACUGGUAUUUAAAGAGGUUAAGUUUAACUUUCCCAAAGUCAUAGUAAUUGGCCAAACAACAGUCAAGCCUCAAGUUUAUUCCUAAAGAUACUUCUGUUGAGGGAUUUGAUUUCUUUUUUAAUUGUAGGUAAAUCUGAAUAAUCCUAUUGUUUUGUUUUUAGUAAUCCUGUUUCUUAAAUUUCAGAGUUUUUUUCAAAGAUUUUACUUAUUUAUUUGAGACCGAACACGAGCAGGGGAGGGGCAGAGGGAGAAGCAGACUCCCUGCACCCUCAGUGGGGAUCCUGGCAGGAGGUUCAGUGGGGCUCUCUCCCAGGACCCCAGGAUCAUGACCAAGCCGAAGGCAGACCCUUAACUGACAGGCGCCCCUGUUUCUUAAAUUUCAAACAUAUGUAUUCUCUGGGUCAUAGUUGGCAAUAUCUUUUUUUCCUUCAGCAUAAUUAUUGAGGGCUUUAUGUAUUAGAAUAUAAACAUUUGAUCUGUAAACCCAAGCAUUAUACUUCCUGCUGCCUGAAGACAUUUGGCCUGUUUGUGAGGAGGAAGGGAAUGGAGGGAGACACGGAAAAGGACAUUACCCCUAGGAUGGAAAGAAAACACUUUCCUUCUACCGAAGGAGUGGAGAUCAGGUGAUCCAGGUGAUUGUAAAUUUUGAAACAAGCUAUCACUGCUCUGAGGAGGCUUACCUAAAUUUUCUGUUACAAAGUCUUGCAAUUCUAGUUUUAUGGGGACUUUUCCUGGUUCAGCAAUAAUAGAUUUGAUAGAGUCAAAAAGAAAAUAGGAUUUACACAUGGAGACAUAAAAGGGUAGGAAUGGAAGGUUUAGGAAUAUAGGAACAAAAAGAGAGGAAAGUGUUAGAAAGUGGGCCUGGAAAGUAGUAUGAAGAAGUAGACUUGGAUGGUUUCAGGCACAUGAACCAAGAAAGGAACCCUUGCAAUAAAUAGAAUUCCCAGUAGGGUUCAAUGGACAUCAGUUGACUUGGAUUAAUUACCAUGAGUGUGGGAACUUCCUUGCAAUUUUAAUAAGAAUUAUUCAAUAGCCUGUUGCUCGGCAGGAUUACCACCAGACCAAGUCAUGAAUCUGCACAGCUGAAGUCCACUUUUCCCCCACGCCACUCCACACAAAUACAAUAUCAGCAAUGUUUUUGGGGCAAUCAAAAGGCUGAGGACAUUACUGAGUGCCUACAACAAAUGAUAAGAAAUUAUGGAAUUCUUAGUAGCUCAGUUGCAGUACAUCUGAGGGCACUCCUGCCAGUUCCUGACCUAAUUAGGGAUCUGCAGCAAACAUUAGAAAAUUUUGCUCAUCUUAAUGGCUUUCAAAUACCAAGUACGUGAAUUUAUUCACAGUCAGGUAAUGGAAGGCAUCAAUGAACAAAAAGGAGUGAAAGUUGUUCAUAUAUUGAGUAAAAGAGAUGAGUAUAUCUUUCCAUAUGAACCAAAGUGAGGAAGAAUACAUGAUCACAACCAAAAAAAAAAAAAA